rnacentral:rRNA from 1 species
CGGACGUGGGUAACCUGCCUCAUACAGGGGGAUAACAGUUAGAAAUGACUGCUGAUACCGCAUAAGCGCACAGCAUCGCAUGAUGCCGUGUGAAAAACUCCGGUGGUAUGAGAUGGACCCGCGUCUGAUUAGCUGGUUGGUGAGGUAACGGCCCACCAAGGCGACGAUCAGUAGCCGACCUGAGAGGGUGACCGGCCACAUUGGGACUGAGACACGGCCCAA